rnacentral:lncRNA from 1 species
CAUUGAGAAAACAUUCUGAUUUUGAUUUUCAACAUGAAACUGUUUGCAGAUGGCUGAUUGGAGAACCUUUGUAGAUGUCAUGAAUGUGGCAACCUGGGAAAUCAAAGCUGACACCCACAAAGGCCCUCAAGAUGUAAAAGACAUUUCUGUUCAUCUGGAUUGAAACUUUGUGAAGCCCAGCCUGCAAGACAUUGUGACUUGGCUGAAGAAGUCAUGGGAUAAAAACAUCGACAGCUGUGUUACCAAAGCACUACAAGCAGGCUACAUGGCCAAGAAAUGUUCAUUUAAGGACAGCAUUGCCGGAC